UACGUAGGGGGCUAGCGUUGUCCGGAAUCAUUGGGCGUAAAGCGCGUGUAGGCGGCCCGGUAAGUCCGCUGUGAAAGUCAGGGGCUCAACCCUUGAAUGCCGGCGGAUACUGUCGGGCUAGAGUCCGGAAGAGGCGAGUGGAAUUCCCGGUGUAGCGGUGAAAUGCGCAGAUAUCGGGAGGAACACCUAUGGCGAAGGCAGCUCGCUGGGACGGUACUGACGCUGAGACGCGAAAGCGUGGGGAGCAAACAGG
rnacentral:rRNA from 1 species